AGUGAACGCUGGCGGCGUGCUUAACACAUGCAAGUCGAACGAGAACGGAUUAUAGCUUGCUAUAAUUGUCAGCUAAGUGGCGCACGGGUGAGUAAUGUAUAGGUAAUAUGCCUCUUACUAAGGGAUAACAAAUGGAAACGUUUGCUAAUACCUUAUACUCCUUAUUAACAGAAGUUAGUAAGGGAAAGAUUUAUUGGUAAGAGAUUAGCCUGUAUUGUAUCAGUUAGUUGGUGGGGUAAUGGCUUACCAAGACUAUGACACAUAACUGGUUUGAGAGGAUGAUCAGUCACACUGGAACUGAGAAACGGUCCAGACUCCUACGGGAGGCAGCAGUGGGGAAUAUUGCACAAUGGACGAAAGUCUGAUGCAGCAACGCCGCGUGGAGGAUUACACAUUUCGGUGCGUAAACUCCUUUUAUAUGAGAAGAUAAUGACGGUAUUAUAUGAAUAAGCACCGGCUAACUCCGUGCCAGCAGCCGCCGCCG
rnacentral:rRNA from 1 species